UCCUUCUUAGCUCAGUUGGUAGAGCGCGUCACUAGUAGAGAUGACGAGGUCAGUCGUUCAAGUCGGCUAGAAGGAA